rnacentral:rRNA from 1 species
ACGGGAGGCAGCAGUGGGGGAUAUUGCACAAUGGGGGAAACCCUGAUGCAGCGACGCCGCGUGAGUGAUGAAGUAUUUCGGUAUGUAAAGCUCUAUCAGCAGGGAAGAAAAUGACAGUACCUGACUAAGAAGCCCCGGCUAACUACGUGCCAGCAGCCGCGGUAAUACGUAGGGGGCAAGCGUUAUCCGGAUUUACUGGGUGUAAAGGGAGCGCAGGUGGCAUGGCAAGCCAGAAGUGAAAACCCGGGGCUUAACCCCGUGGACUGCUUUUGGAACUGUCAGGCUAGAGUGCAGGAGGGGCAGGCGGAAUUCCUAGUGUAGCGGUGAAAUGCGUAGAUAUUAGGAGGAACACCGGUGGCGAAGGCGGCCUGCUGGACUGUAACUGACACUGAGGCUCGAAAGCGUGGGGAGCAAACAGGAUUAGAUACCCUGGUA